rnacentral:rRNA from 1 species
GGUACCACCCGUUCCCAUCCCGAACACGGAAGUUAAGACCUCCAGGGCCGAAGAUACCUUUACGGGGAAAAUAGGACGUUGCCAGGU